GACGAACGCUGGCGGCGUGCUUAACACAUGCAAGUCGAACGGAAAGGCCAUGCUUUUGUGGCUUUCUCGUGUGGCGAACGGGUGAGUGACACGUGUGUAAACUCCACCUGUCUUUGGGAUAACUUCAGGAAACUGGGGCUAAUAUCGGAUAGGAGCUCUUGCUGCAUAGUGGUGAUUGGAAAAAUUCGGCGGUUGGGGCUGGACUCGCGGCUUAUCGGCUUGUUGGGCGGGUAGUGGCUUACCAAGGCUUCGACGGCUAGCCCGCAUGGGAGGGGGAACGGGCACAUUGGGACUGAGAGACGCCGCAGACUCGUACGGGAGGCAGCAGUGGAGAACAUGGCACAAUAGGGGGAAGCCUGAGGUAACAACGCUGCGUGCGGGAAGACGGCCUUCUGGUUGUAAACCGCUUUCGCAGGAGACGAAGCGGUAGUGACGGUAAUGGGUAAAGAAGCACCGGCUAACUACGUG
rnacentral:rRNA from 1 species